rnacentral:lncRNA from 1 species
CUAUUGAGGGACAGAGCCGCCACUGAAAGCAAGCAAUCCAAUUUCUGCAAUUUCUGCUCUGCCACUGAGCCAAACUGCCUCGCCUGGGCCCCCACUUUCUCAGCAGCCCUGGUGCUCCGCCUGGACUGUGUCCUCUCUCUCAGAUGCUCUAGAAGAGAGUGAGUCCCUUUCGGAAUCUAGGUGACAAGGCCCUUCCAGCAGCUCGCGGGCCCGCCACAGGAGCUCCCUGACUAGCGGUUCCCAUUACUAAGGCCGUGGAUCUUUCACUUUUGCACCAACUAGGCCAGACAUUGUGACUUCCUCUCCAGCCCACGGGUGGACCGCUCUGCCCCCGCCCUGCCCGUCACCGUCACCACCGUCAGCCCUGCCACAUCCUUUAGCAUUUUUAAGACGGGCUGUAAUUAUCCAAAGGAAUUUUACCAAAACCUAAGGAGAUUCACAAGGGAAACAAAGAGCAUUUGAAGCACAUAGUGACGCUUAGAAAGUAGGGUUUUCUUCUCCUAGGAUAGCUUACCAGGCAUCAGUAAGCUGAACUGAAAUCCUGAUUCAGAGACUGCCCUUGUCCCGUCUCAAGUUUUCAUUCACCCUUCCCCCAUACACACACACACACACACACACACAGCCACACAGGGCAGGGGUUUCGGGAGCCACUCAGUCCUGCAGCCCAUCUGGAGGACACACACUUGAGACUUUGGAGUCCUGAGCCACCAUCUAGGAUGUCUGGUUAUCCUGAAGCCACCAUGCUGGAAUGUCCAUGUGAACAGACCAUGUAGAAACAGAGAGACAGAGAGAUGCCCAACAUGCCCCAGCUGUUCCAGCCCCCAGCUGGCUGAGUCGUCCCAGCCCAGCUGCCUGUCGUGUGAGUGCAGAAGACUUUGAGAUGAUGCCUCCUCCACCCACCAUCUGCCUGCAACGGCAUGAGAGGCCCCAAGCCAGGCCCUCUCAGCCGGGCUGGCUCCCCAGUUCCUGAGCCACAGAAACCCUGAGAGAUAAUAAAUGAUUAUUGUUGUUUGAAGGCACCAAGUUUUGGGGUGAUUUAUGCUGCUGCAAUAGAUGACUACUAUACCCCC